CAGUGUGUGUGUGGUGUGGUGCUGACAAACGUUGCAUCAAGCACAUGGGAAGGGAUGGGUCACGCACGCAAGGCAAGGGUGCUUGCUUUCUGAAGAUAGAGCCGUCUCUCUCUUCCCUAUUUUCUGUCUCUCAUCAGUCAUCUCUCUACUACCUAAUCCUUUAUCCCUCUCAUUUUUUCUCACUCAUCUCUCUCGUAUUCUCUCUCUCUCUACAACCCAGAAACCACCUAACCUUUCCUUCCACCAAUCCAAAACCAAGCCAAACAUCCCUACUCACUCUCUCUCAUUUCAUUUCGCCUCUCAUCUGCCUUCACUCAGUCUCAGACUCUCCCUCUCUUUCUCGAAUUUGAAGCUUAGCAGCCACCCACCGUCUAGCAAUCUGACUCCGACGAACUAUCUGCACUUCGGCUACCACCACACCUCAUGGCUUCAUCCCCACCUUCGGUUAUCUCCAGUGAUUCUCUGUGUGUGUGGGAUUUCGAAUUGAGGUUAGGGUUUUGAAUUGGGGCUUAGGGUUUCGAAUUGGGGGCUCGGGUCAGGAGGAGGUUCGGAUGAUUUCAAUAUUAAUCUAAGACGAUUUGGAUUCUGAUGAUGUUCGGUUUCAGGAAAUUCCGAAAUACCGAAAAUAUUUCGGGAAUCCCGAAAUUUCGGUUCGGGAUCGGUCUUGAGAUUUACGUCCCAAAAAUUUUCGGUUCGGGAUUUGAUAUGCCAUUUUUGGUUCGGUAUCCCAUACCGAACCAGCCCUAAACCAAACCCGUUCAUUGGCUUUGCCUUUUUCUGUCGUAUAUGGGGCUUUUGGUGUUGCCCCAUUUUCCACACCCACCACUGUCCUUAUUUAUUAUUAUUAUUUUAUUUUUGUUGUUUUGUGUAUGUGUCUAUGUCUGUGUUUUCAAAGUUGGUAAGUUUUUUUUUGUUUGUUUUUUUAUUACAAAUGGUUUUUUAAAUUGACCAAUCUCAUUAAAAUUGUCUCUGAAAUUGAAAAUCGAUCAAUGUAGUCUUUGAAAUUAGAUGUCACAAAUCAAUGUGAUCCUUUCAUCACAAUUCUAUCAAAAACUAUGUUUAGUACUGAUAUGGCACUUAAAUAGGUCCCACAAAUUAAAUUAAAUAGUAUUUUGUGAAUUAAAAAUAUUUAAAUAAUAAAAAUGAUAUUUUUUUUAAUUUUUAUUAAAAAAAAGCUUCAUGUGCAACAGCCAUAACGCUCAGAGUCUUCUCAUCCUCCUCAUCUUCCUCCGUUUCUUUCAAGCCCUAACAAGUCACUCACUUUCAAGUUCAGCACUUCCUAGUGGGGUUGGGUUUGGGUGCGAUUACAUUUGCGACGGUGACGACGAGUGACGAGAAAGGCUCGAAUGCCGGCGUUAAACUCCACGAGCCAAUCAAUAGGGUUAAACUCCUAUUGCACUACACGGCUCUCCUUUCGCGGUUUGAUGAUUCGAAGCGGGUCAUGGGCUGCACGGCCCGGGUGUGGCAGCAAGUCGAGAUGGACGAGGAUGGCAAGAUGAGAUUCGCGGCCGGCAACAAUUUCAAAAUCACUAGGGGCUUCCACUCCUGCCAGGUUUCGGUGCUCGAUGACACGUUGCCAGAAGAGGUGUUGCAGGUUAAGAUCGACGUCUUGUCGUCACUCAGUGUGGGAUUGCCGGGCGCGUUUGUUUUUUGCCUUUUCAAGUUUUUAAUAAUAAAAAAUAAUUUUAUUUUAUUUUUUAUUAUAAAUUAUUGAAUUAUUUUUAAUCCAUAUUGAAAUAAUUAAUUAGGUUUAUGGAACCGAUAUGUGCCACAUCAGCACUUCACAGAGUUUUUUACGAAAUUAUGACAGAAUGACCAUAUUGAUUUGCGACACCUAAUUUUAAGGACCACAUUGAUUGAUUUUUAAUUUCAGAGACCAUCUUGAUGAGAUGGGUCAACUUCGGAGAUCAUUUGUAAUAAAAUUAUGAGCAGCUAUUAUCCAUAUAUGCAUUAUAAUACUAGACUA